UGAUCUUGUUGGAUUUGAUAUCAGACCGCAGAGGUGCCGAAAGGGCGAGUGCAGGCCGCCACACUAAAGGAGACCCCGCCCCCACAACCCGACCCGUUUCCCCGACAUCGCCAAGGGAAACGACCUACAUAGGCCGCGAGCAGCCAUCUUGGCCGUGUUAUGAAUUCCCGGCAUAAUUGUUUGUGUCGUCGCGUCGACGUUUCUAUAGACGGCGCUUCCCCCCUCUUCGGAGUGCUUGCCUUCAACUUUAACAUCUCCAAACAAACAAAACAUCGGGCCCGUGAGUCAAAGACUCGCCCUCUGUAAUUCUGCCCGUCCGCAGCCAAUAAAGAUAAGAGGCCGACGUCUGGAAUGCCGCGGGAAGGUGACACUGAGGAGAUGGAGAAAAGGAAAAGACACAUCGUGACACUCUCUGCUGCUCGGCUGACGUCAAGAAGAAGAAAAAUCGUCAAAAUCCGACAUCCUCCCUAGGGGGAGUCCCGGCCUGGCAAAAAUAAGCUUAUUUUAAGCAUGCGGAAGAAGCAGCGAGGAUGACAAGGCAAGUCCAAGUGGAUGUGGGAAAAGUGGAUGGAGACUUUGAGGAGGUGACCGGUGAUGAGCACAUGACAGGACGAGCAGACGAGACAAGAAAAGUCCAAAAAAGAAAAGUCACGGGGGGGGAAAAAAAAACGAUGAGAGGCGACGAGAGUGAUGAGGUGAGGUUGAGCCCGAGCGAAACUUCAACAGCGUUCGUAACGUCACAACCACUAUGCCAUCGUUUUCACAUUCACGUUGGGAUCUUA